GGGGGGGGGGGGGGGGGGGGGGGGGGGGGGGGGGGGGGGGGGGGGGGGGGGGGGGGGGGGGGGGGGGGGGGGGGGGGGGGGGGGGGGGCCCGGCGUCUGCGGGGGAGGAGCGGCGCUGGCCGGGGCGCCCAGCGCCAGGAACGCGUCGUCCCCUCGUUGGGGGUACGGGACCUGCGGGGCCCCGCGGCACAGCCCCGGCGGAAAGGCGAGAGCAAAGUACCCCAAGUCCAUGACCCACGGGGCAGCACCGCGCCCCGCCGGGGCAGUACUGCCCUAAUAUCGGCCCUGGAGCGGGGCAAUGGCAGCCCGGAGGGGGAGCUCACGCCGGGGGUACCGGGCGCCCCCAGUUCCCCUGUCCGCUGCCCAGGUGCGCAGUCCCGCCGCUUCGCACCGGGAUUCCCCGGCACAGGCCCUUCCCUGCACUCGACGGAGCCGCCGCACUCUUGGGAUGCUCGCCGGGAGUUUGGGAGAAUGGCAGGAAACAGCAGCAAGGUGAAGGAGGUGAAAUCUGGACUCUCAAAGUGAUCAUCUUUCCCUAAAUAUCUCCAAGUGACACUUGAGCAUCCAGUCUGAGCCACGCCGAUGUUUGAUUUGGAUGAUGAUGGGUUUGAGCCAAUGCCUCGGCUGAUAACCACAUGCCAGUGCAGUUCAGAACAGCAGAAGGGUGUGCUGAGCAAAGUACACCUGGGCUUUGGUGACUUGGGACUGGACAUACAAGGAACACGAAGAAGGGCUACAUCAUGCUGCUUUGAAUUAGACUUGCAACCUUCUAAUUCUUAGUAGGUGGAAGUGUAGUCAGCUGGGAAAUGCAAGGGUUGUACUCUAUUUUAACAAUCUAUUUUAUUUCUA
rnacentral:lncRNA from 12 species